rnacentral:rRNA from 1 species
UGGGGAAUAUUGCACAAUGGAGGGAACUCUGAUGCAGCGACGCCGCGUGAACGAAGAAGGCUUUCGAGUCGUAAAGUUCUUUUAUAUGGGAAGAUAAUGACGGUACCAUAAGAAAAAGCCCCGGCUAACUACGUGCCAGCAGCCGCGGUAAUACGUAGGGGGCUAGCGUUGUCCGGAAUCACUGGGCGUAAAGGGUUCGCAGGCGGAAAUGCAAGUCAGGUGUAAAAGGCAGUAGCUUAACUACUGUAAGCAUUUGAAACUGCAUAUCUUGAGAAGAGUAGAGGUAAGUGGAAUUUUUAGUGUAGCGGUGAAAUGCGUAGAUAUUAAAAAGAAUACCGGUGGCGAAGGCGACUUACUGGUCUGUAACUGACGCUGAUGUGCGAAAGCGUGGGGAUCAAACAGG